rnacentral:lncRNA from 1 species
CCUCUGUUUUUGGACGGCUCGGACAACACCAGUUGUCGUUAUUUUAUCAAAAUUCAACAAUUUAUCAAACACUAUAACCAUAUUUAUAUAAGAUUUGGAUAAUUUGAAAUCAAACUAUACUUGUAUUAGAUCGGUUCGAGCUCGUUUUUCACGUAAUAUCUAAAAUUAUGAAAUAACGGAAUAAAACGCGUUGUUAAUCUUUACCAUCUACUCAAGUCGAAACGCUAAUUGAGUUGACCGAGUCAACUGGGCUGACCGAGUUGACUCAUUGAGUUGACCGAGUCAACCGGGUUAACGGAGUCAACCGGGUUAACGGAGUCAACCGAGUUAACUGAGUUAACUGAGUUAACCGGAUUUGACCCGAGUUGACCGAGCCAAAACUGAAGCUGACCGUCUAACCGAACCGCGAGACCCGAACCGAACCGUUUGACCUGUUGACUGAGUCGCUAACCAAAGUCUACCAACAAAACUAUCACCCGAACCGUGGCUGACUUGCUCUAAAUCUGACCCGAACCGCCUUUAGUCCCGGAACCCGAAAUCUGAAAAAGAACCCGAACAUGAACUUUGCCUUCACAUAACAUCACCAUCUUCAUCAUCUUCAGUUUACCAAGGAAAUACAAAGAAAUGAAAGGUGUUUACCAGGUGACUCGUCGGAUAAAGACAUGGACCGUCGGAUAAACGAACCGACCGCCGAUCCGAAACACAAACCACCGCAAGGAGGGGAGGGGUGA